rnacentral:snoRNA from 1 species
AGCGUGUGAUGAAAUAGUUUCGGUCCCAUAUGACUGCCUGAUUACUGUUUGAGAUCAGCUGAUGCU